UGGAGAAUCCCAUGGGCAGAGGAGCCUGGUGAACUAUAGUCCAUGAAGUUACAAGAGUCAGACAUGAUUAAGUGAUUUAACACACUUGCACAGGUGUGAGAAGCACAGAGGCUGUUAAUGUUGAACUCACCAUGAGUGGCUAGAGAGCAAAUAGUCUUGCGUUAGAAAAGUGAGGAACGGUUUGAAAGGAGUGAACUUGGAAAGGGCAGCUUUUGCUUAGCAGGGAGCACACGUUCAAUCUUCAGUUUCCUGAAUCCUUAAGACUCUUGGGAUCUGUUUUCCACAUUUAGACUUCCACUGUCAUCCAUGACGCAGUGGCUGAUGCUUCAACCGGUAAAGGAAGAGACGGUGGUGGCUUGGUUUCAACAACUUCUGUGAAAAUCAGCAGCCUGAAUCUGCAAGCCUCCUCCUUCCCAACUGAUGGGCCCCAGCUGUGAUUUCUCCAGUAAUUACAUACUGGAAAAAAUUUGCCAAUCCUUGGUCUAUAAAUGUAACCAUACUAGAAGGUCACCAUGACAAAUACUUGUCAGAGACCAACUCCCCAGGAAUCAUCAGCAAGAGCCCAAGAAGAAGGAAUCUUUGACCACAGUUGACUGUUUUGAAGAAACUGGUCUUGAUUGCCUGCCUCUUUCUCAGCAUGAUCAAGAUUUGUGCUCAUCAUUACCACAGAACUGAUAUCACAAGACCUUCUUGUGUCUAUCCAGGAGCAGUGAAGAUUCCUGAUACUACAAGUUGAUAAGUCCAGGCUAACCUGCUGGAGGAAAAGAGAUUGUUUGGAGCAGAACCAAGUUGUCCUAACUAAAGCCUUUCUAUGCCAUCCAGACCCUCGCUGGCCCAAUAGCUGACUUCACAAGUGCUGUUCUGGAGUGGUUUGUUACACAGCAGUACCUGAUAUGAUUAAAAAUUAUGUCCUAUAUAAUUUUUUAUCUAGCAUAUUAACCAAGUGCUUAACAUAUAGUGAGUGGUCUAUACAUAUAUGUUGUACUGAAAAGCAUGGAAGGAAAAUUCCAAUCUAUCGCAAAGCCCUUUUUUCUCCUUUUUUUCUACCAAACAUCAUGACUGCCCUAACUUUCUCACUCUCUUUUACCUCUGAGAUCUCAGGAGCUAAGACUGUAGGGACAGCUGUGGGAAUUCCAGCAGGCACACUGCGGUUUGAAAUCCACAGACAAGGGAGCAUGGCUUCCUUCCUUGGCCUGCUGCCCCACGCACGGCGAGCAGAGCAGCCAAGCCAAAGUGGCAGCCGCAGUGUGGGAGCCCAGCUCUCCUGCCAUAAAUUACCCAGAGGCAGGAAGAAGCAGUGAGAGUCAGCGGUUUCAACUACCUAGUAGUUCAUUUUUGUUCUUGUUUUUCAGUUAGCAAUCUGUAAAAUUUAUUGCAAAAUUAAGCUCCCUGCUCCAGAGUCAAUAAUAUUCCUGGUGCCCGGCGGUGUAAUAACUCACAAAAAGGGCAGGAGUUGGAGGGAGUGAAACUGAUUUAAGAAGUUGACUUCCAAGCCCUACUUUCUGCUGCCUACUCCCUGCUGCUAAAGGUCAGUUUAAAGCUAGAAACUUCUCAUCAAGAAGCCAUCAAAGCGUCACUAGCAUCAUAAAGAUAACAAAGAUAAAAUGGUUUUCUGAGGCGGUCUUACAAAUAGCUGUGAAUAGAAGAGAAGCAAAGGCAAAGUAGAAAAGGGAAGACAUACCUAUUUGAAUGCUUCCA